rnacentral:rRNA from 1 species
CCUACGGGUGACAGCAGUGAGGAAUAUUGGUCAAUGGGCGGAAGCCUGAACCAGCCAAGUAGCGUGCAGGAUGACGGCCCUAUGGGUUGUAAACUGCUUUUAUACGGGAAUAACGCGCCUUACGUGUAGGGCUUUGCAUGUACCGUAUGAAUAAGGACCGGCUAAAUCCGUGCCAGCAGCCGCGGUAAUACGGAAGGUCCGGGCGUUAUCCGGAUUUAUUGGGUUUAAAGGGAGCGUAGGCCGACUGUCAAGCGUGCUGUGAAAUGUCCGGGCUCAACCCGGGCCUUGCAGUGCAAACUGGCGGGCUUGAGUGCGCGGAAAGCAGGCGGAAUUCGUCGUGUAGCGGUGAAAUGCUUAGAUAUGACGAAGAACCCCGAUUGCGAAGGCAGCUUGCUGCAGCGGAACUGACGCUGAUGCUCGAAAGCGCGGGUAUCGAACAGGAUUAGAUACCCCUGUAGUC